GCUUGCUUUGGUACACAUAUAUUAAAAUUGGAAUGAUACAGAGAUGCUUAGCUUGCCCCCUGCUCAAGGAUAACAUUCAAAUUCACAAAGAACUGCUCUACUGAU